GGAGGGGCUUGCGUACCAUUAGCUAGUUGGUGGGGUAACGGCCUACCAAGGCGACGAUGGUUAGCGGGUCUGAGAGGAUGAUCCGCCACACUGGAACUGGAACACGGACCAGACUCCUACGGGAGGCAGCAGUGAGGAAUAUUGCGCAAUGGGGGAAACCCUGACGCAGCGACGCCGCGUGAGUGAAGAAGGCCUUCGGGUUGUAAAGCUCUGUCAGCAGGGAAGAAAUGCCAGAUGGCUAAUAUCCAUGUGGUUUGACGGUACCUGCAGAGGAAGCACCGGCUAACUCCGUGCCAGCAGCCGCGGUAAUACGGAGGGUGCGAGCGUUAAUCGGAAUCACUGGGCGUAAAGGGCGCGUAGGCUGUUGAUCAAGUCAGAUGUGAAAGCCCGUGGCUUAACCACGUGAAGUGCAUCUGAAACUGGUUGACUUGAGUACUGGAGGGGAAGGUGGAAUUCCCGGUGUAGAGGUGAAAUUCGUAGAGAUCGGGAGGAAUACCGGUGGCGAAGGCGACCUUCUGGACAGAUACUGACGCUGAGGCGCGAAAGCGUGGGGAGCAAACAGGAUUAGAUACCCUGGUAGUCCACAGCUGUAAACGAUGUGCACUAGAUGUAGGGGGGAGUUGACCCUCCCUGUGUCGCAGCCAACGCAUUAA
rnacentral:rRNA from 1 species